UGGCCCAGAGCCAGAAUUGAUUGCUCAGU
rnacentral:piRNA from 1 species